GCUUUUUAAGAAUAUUUUUUUAAUUCGGAUACUUUUAUAAUAGCAUUAAUAGUAUUAUUAACAUAGUGCAUAAAAUGGUGUCCUGUUUUUAACGCAGUUGGAGUAGCAGAAACAAAUGUAGAUAAAAAAUUCUGCAGGAAUAACGUUUCAAUUAUGUUAUGAGUCAUAAUAUGUUAUGUUUCAAUUAUGUUAUGACAGAAGCUCAAAACAAAUGACUGUGAAUCAUAGAAGAUGCUGUGAAUGAAAAGCCCUAUUAAAAGCUUUCCAGAAGAUCCUGCGAAGAAGACAUGAAGUAUAGAUCAGAUUUGUUAAUAGAGGAGUAUGUUCAAAACACUUUUUAGAAAAAGAUAUUUGACAGAACUUCACUUUCAUCUGUUCGUUUGAGAGACUGUGCUGUUCCAAUAGCUUAUGUCACACAGAAUCAGCUGAGAGAAGUGGUCUACAAAAAACCAGAAAGGAAACAGAAUAUGUGGCUACGAAAAGCAAAAGAAAGGUUUACAAAGCAAAUGUGACACAUUUUUUUAUAAUAUUUAGGAAUGUCAGCAAAUUACAUUAAAAAAUGUAUGUAAAGAUUUUUUGCAAUAAAAAUGUUUAUAUUUA